UGGGGAAUAUUGCACAAUGGGCGCAAGCCUGAUGCAGCAACGCCGCGUGAGGGACGACGGCCUUCGGGUUGUAAACCUCUUUUAGUAGGGAAGAAGCGAAAGUGACGGUACCUGCAGAAAAAGCACCGGCUAACUACGUGCCAGCAGCCGCGGUAAUACGUAGGGUGCAAGCGUUGUCCGGAAUUAUUGGGCGUAAAGAGCUCGUAGGCGGUUUGUCGCGUCUGCUGUGAAAACCCGAGGCUCAACCUCGGGCCUGCAGUGGGUACGGGCAGACUAGAGUGCGGUAGGGGAGAUUGGAAUUCCUGGUGUAGCGGUGGAAUGCGCAGAUAUCAGGAGGAACACCAAUGGCGAAGGCAGAUCUCUGGGCCGUAACUGACGCUGAGGAGCGAAAGCAUGGGGA
rnacentral:rRNA from 1 species